GAACUGCGAUAAGUAAUGUGAAUUGCAGAAUUCAGUGAAUCAUCGAGUCUUUGAACGCACAUUGCGCCCCCUGGCAUUCCGGGGGGCAUGCCUGUCCGAGUGUCAUUGCUGCCCUUCAAGCCCGGCUUGUGUGUUGGGUCGUCGUCCCCUCCGGGGGACGGGCCCGAAAGGCAGCGGCGGCACCGCGUCCGGUCCUCGAGCGUAUGGGGCUUUGUCACCCGCUCGAUAAGGACCGGCCGGGCGCCAGCCGGCGUCUCCAACCUUUUUUCUCAGGUUGACCUCGGAUCAGGUAGGGAUACCCGCUGAACUUAAGC
rnacentral:misc_RNA from 1 species